rnacentral:tRNA from 1 species
CGGGGAGUGGCGCAGUCUGGCAGCGCAUCUGGUUUGGGACCAGGGGGUCAUGCAGAUCUGACAAGUUCGAGCCUCAACCGUCGCCCUUC